CUUGCAUGUCACUACCAAUUAUUGCUUAUUGAAACUGAAGAUUUCAAUGCUCCUCAUCAACUUUAUAAAUCUUGCCUCUACCAUCUCUGAAGAAAGCAACACAUGUGGAUAAUAGUGGGACUGUGAGACAGAAGACGAAGGAAGACCAUGUGAAGACAUCACUGGGAGAAGACAGCCAUCUGCAAGCCAAGGAGAGAGAACUCAGAAGAAAUCAACCCUGCCGACGUCUUGAACUUGGGCUCCCAGCCUCCAGAACUGUGAGGAAAUAAAUUUCUGUUGUUUAAACCACCCAGUCUGUGGUACUUUGUUAUGGCAGUCCUAGCACACUGAUACGUGAUCAC
rnacentral:lncRNA from 10 species